GGGGUCGUAGCUCAGUUGGUAGAGCGCCACAAUGGCAUUGUGGAUGUCGCAGGUUCGAAUCCUGUCGGCUCCACCA
rnacentral:tRNA from 1 species